rnacentral:lncRNA from 1 species
UCAAAUAAAAUCAACAGCAUUACUCUCAGGUCCGCAGUCGUCACAACAACAUUUAAUGGAAUAUAUAACAUGUUUCUUUCUUGCUUUAUUUCUUUCUUUCCUUCUUUUCUUGUGUGCUGUGGUGUGAUACGCUUGUGCUGUGGUUUGGGGAGCUGAGGAUUUUCUCUUUCCUCUGUUUUUUCGAUUAUGUCUCUUCUCUCUCCUUUUUAGAGAGGGGCUUGGAAAUUAGGGUUUCGUGGGGUAGCGUGCGCGUGGGCAGGUGGGAUGCGCGUCCCUUUCCCGGGUCCCAACAUAUUAUCAAAGGAUGGCGGAGAGAGAUUUACGUUGUAGCGCCUACUAUUCUUCUUACUACUUCCUCUCUCACAGUCUUUCUAUCUCUAUUCUUUUUCUCUCCACUCCUUAUUUCCCUCUAUACGCUACUUUCCUACCUGUAACGGGGAUUCUAUACUCUGUGUUCUUCACUACCC